AGUGGUAUAGAUCAGUGGUAGAUCACCUGGCUAGAAACCAUGAAACCUAGGUUCAAUCCCUAGGACCACCA